rnacentral:lncRNA from 1 species
GUAACUCCUGAUGAUUUGUUUUAAAGCCUCUGCUCCUGGACACCAGUAGUUGCCCCAGCCUCCGUUCUUGCCUUCAGAAGGAAACAUCCAGUGCACGGGGCCACGGGGUGUGGCUCAAAAACACGACCCUGAGUGGGUCAAAAAGCUGGAAAACAAAGAACAGCCCACGCUGGACUAGUUCUGUGCUUUGAGAUCACCCUGGGCCAGCCAGGUCAUCACGAGGCUGGCAGUGCUGAGACCCAUCACACACCAGCUCUGAGCAGAGGUGACCACAGUCUCUGCCUGAGGAAAGGCACUUCCUUCAGCCAAGGAAUCAGCAACACCAAUAACCACAACCAGCAUCUGUUGACUUUGCUCCUUGUGCUAAAACGCCAAGAAAUUUGGUCCCAGGAAGAUUUCCCUGCCCCAAACGCCACAGGUUCAGUCCCCAGCUCUUUACUGGCCCCCAGAAAUUUUCCCCAUGCACUUGCAAUUAAGGAAUCGUUCCCAGCAACCAGAAACACGAGACACUUUGGAGGAAAGAAAAUAAACCAGGUCUUCCUUCUACCUUCAUCUCCUCCCCACACGCUCCGACGUUUUUUGUGCAACCGGAGCGGGGACGCGCCCUUCUCGUUCCCAAAUGCCAAGCUGGUUCCCUGCCACGUUAUUAGAGCCCACAAACCUCUGGCUUCGUCCAAGGAAGGAAGUCAGGCUCCAGCACGGGUAAGCUGCGUUGAACUUGCUCAAACAUGCAUAUUUCCAGUGCUCUCUUCUCCCACAGCCCAAAGGACAUUGCAACACCACCCAGAGAGAGCCACAGUGUCACGUGCCAAAGGGGUUGCUUACGUGAAGGUUGAGUCCAAGCCACUAAAGGCACAUGUGAAUUUUAGACCUCAGGAAACGCAGGGCAACUCAAACCUCUGGAAUCUCCAAAGCUUCUGCCUCAGGACACAGAGGAAUCCUGAGCUUUCCUGUCGUUUUCUUCACUCGUGUUUUCCAAAGAAAGCUGAGAAAACUGGGACUGUUCAGCCUGGAAAAGAGAAGGCUUGAGGGGUGACCUAACUGUGGCUUUCUGGUACCUGAAGGGAGCCCACAAGAAAGAUGGGGAGAGACUAUUUACAAGGGCCUGGAGUGACAGGACAUGGGGGAAUGGCUUCCCA